rnacentral:ncRNA from 3 species
CCUUUUGGAUGAAAAAUUGUCCCUAUGAGUGGUGACAUUCAUAGAAAACUCCUUUAAUUCAGUGAAACUCUCAAAUGAGACAAUACUGAGCGAAGCCUUUAACAAAGGAACGUGCAACGACUAGCUGAAAAGCGUAGGGUGUAAGCUAAUGACAUCCGAAAUGGGGAGCAUCUUAUAUAAAAGAUGAUGAUAUAGUCUGGUCUGUAUAGUGAUAUACAG